rnacentral:rRNA from 1 species
GGAGCCGUAGCGAAAGCGAGUUUUAACUGAGCGUUCAGUUACUUGACGUAGACCCGAAACCGGGCGACCUACCCAUGAGCAGGAUGAAGCGAAAGUAAAAUUUCGUGGAGGUCCGAACCCACGAGCGUUGAAAAGCUCGGGGAUGACUUGUGGGUAGCGGUGAAAUUCCAAUCGAGCCCGGAGAUAGCUGGUUCUCCCCGAAAUAGCUUUAGGGCUAGCCUCAAGGUGAGAGAUACGGAGGUAGAGCACUGAAUGUCCUAGGGGGUAUUGCACCUACCGAAGACUAUCAAACUCCGAAUGCCGUCAUCUUAUACUUGGGAGUCAGACUGUGGGUGAUAAGAUUCAUAGUCGAAAGGGCAACAGCCCAGAUCGUCAGCUAAGGUCCCUAAAUGUAAGUUAAGUGGUAAAGGAUGUGGGAUUGCACAGACAACCAGGAUGUUGGCUUAGAAGCAGCCACUCAUUCAAAGAGUGCGUAAUAGCUCACUGGUCGAGUGAUCCUGCGCCGAAGAUUUCCGGGGCUAAAACUUACUACCGAAGCUACGGCAUCAGUAAUGAUGGGUAGGGGAGCUUCCCAUACGGGUUGAAGCAUGACCGUAAGGACAUGUGGACAGUAUGGGAGUGAGAAUGUUGGCAUGAGUAGCGAGAUGUGGGUGAGAAUCCCACAGGCCGUAAACCCAAGGUUUCCAGGGGAAGGUUCGUCCGCCCUGGGUUAGUCGGGACCUAAGCUGAGGCCGAAAGGCGUAGGUGAUGGACAACAGGUUGAUAUUCCUGUACUACCGAUAACCGUUUGAGAGAAGGGAUGACACAGUAGGAUAAGCUAAGCACACUGUUGGUUAUGUGUGCCCAAGCAUUGAGGCAGUCAAAGUAGGCAAAUCCGCUUUGAUAAUGCUGGGAUGUGAUGGGGAGCGAAAUUUAGUAGCGAAGUAGCUGAUUUCACACUGUCAAGAAAAGUCUCUAUCGAGGUUAAAGGUACCCGUACCGCAAACCGACACAGGUGGGUGAGGAGAGUAUCCUAAGGCCAGCGAGAGAACUGUUGUUAAGGAACUCGGCAAAAUGACCCCGUAACUUAGGGAUAAGGGGUGCCACCAUCAGGUGGCCGCAGAGAAUAGGCCCAAGCGACUGUUUACCAAAAACAUAGGUUUCUGCUAAGUCGCAAGACGAUGUAUAGGAGCUGACGCCUGCCCGGUGCUGGAAGGUUAAGGGGAUCUGUUAGAGCAAUCGAAGCAGUGAACUUAAGCCCCAGUAAACGGCGGCCGUAACUAUAACGGUCCUAAGGUAGCGAAAUUCCUUGUCGGGUAAGUUCCGACCCGCACGAAAGGCGUAACGAUUUGGGCACUGUCUCAACAACAGACUCGGUGAAAUUGUAAUUCCGGUGAAGAUGCCGGAUACCUGCGACAGGACGGAAAGACCCCAUGGAGCUUUACUGUAGCUUGACAUUGGGUCUUGGUACUACAUGUACAGGAUAGGUGGGAGGCUUUGAAACCAGGACGCCAGUUUUGGCGGAGCCAUCCUUGGGAUACCACCCUUGUAGUACUGGGACUCUAACCAUAGGCCAUGAAUCUGGUCUUGGGACACUGUCAGGUGGGCAGUUUGACUGGGGCGGUCGCCUCCCAAAAGGUAACGGAGGCGCUCAAAGGUUCUCUCAGUACGGUCGGAAAUCGUACGUAGAGUGUAAAGGCAAAAGAGAGCUUGAUUGCAAGACAUACAGGUCGAGCAAGGAUGAA